rnacentral:piRNA from 1 species
UAGAUCUCCAUAUUCAGAUCUGUGAAUGAC